rnacentral:rRNA from 1 species
UACAGAGGUCUCGAGCGUUAGGCGGAAUCACUGGGCUUAAAGCGUGUGUAGGCGGGUCGUUAAGUACCUUGUGAAAUCCCAUGGCUCAACCAUGGAACUGCUGGGUAUACUGGCGAUCUUGUGCAACCUAGGGGCGAGCGGAACAGAUGGUGGAGCGGUGAAAUGCGUAGAUAUUGGGAGGAACACCAGUGGCGAAGGCGACUCGCUGGACCGGUUCUGACGCUGAGGCGCGAAAGCGUGGGGAGCAAACAGG